GGCGGUGCGCCUUAUGCAUGCAAGUCGAACGGGGUUACGGUUUUCGGACUGUAAUCUAGUGGCGAACGGCUGAGUAACACGUAAGUAACCUGUCUUUGAGUGGGACAUAACCUGCCGAAAGGCAAGCUAAUGUCCCAUGUGGUAGCGAAGCACAUGCUUGGCUAUCAAAGCCUUCGGGUGCUCCGAGAAGGGCUUGCGUCCGAUUAGCUAGUUGGUGGGGUAACGGCCUACCAAGGCAGUGAUCGGUAGCUGGUCUGAGAGGAUGGUCAGCCAGAUGGGGACUGAGACACGGCCCCAACUCCUACGGGAGGCAGCAGCAAGGAAUCUUGGGCAAUGGGCGAAAGCCUGACCCAGCGACACCGCGUGAGGGAUGAAGGCCUUCGGGUUGUAAACCUCUUUUCUUGGGGAAGAAUUCUGACGGUACCCAAGGAAUAAGCCUCGGCCAACUACGUGCCAGCAGCCGCGGUAAUACGUAGGGUCCGAGCGUUGUCCGGAGUUACUGGGCGUAAAGCGCGCGCAGGCGGUUUCGUACGUCGGGUGUGAAAGCCCCCCGCUCAACGGGGGAGGGUCAUUCGAAACGGUGGAACUGGAGGCAGGGAGAGGUCGGUGGAAUUCCCGGUGUAGUGGUGAAAUGCGUAGAUAUCGGGAGGAACACCAGUGGCGAAGGCGGCCGACUGGACCUGUACUGACGCUGAGGCGCGAAGGCGUGGGGAGCGAACGGGAUUAGAUACCCCGGUAGUCCACGCAGUAACGAUGUGCAUAGGUGUGGGGGGGUGUAGACCCCCUCCGUGCCG
rnacentral:rRNA from 1 species